GCUGUGAUUGGCAGAGAGGUUUGGAACUUUCCUUCUUAAUUAAUAAUUAACUAAUUUACCAUACUGGCGAUGUCACUAGGUAGGCCAAAGAAGGCAACCACUCUUACAGCUCUAAAAGGGCAUCAUCAUUAUCAAAUUUCACAGUAUUACUCCAACCUCAGUGUGGAAAUCUAUAAUGAACAAAAAUAUAAACGCAACAUGCGACAAUUUCAAACAUUUACUGAGGUACAGUUUAUAUAAAACAGUUCAUAUGAGGAAAUCAGUCAAUUGAUAAAAAUGCAUAAGGCCCUAAUCUAUAGAUUUCACAUGACUGGGAAUACAGAAAUGCAUCACGUCUGAUGAAUGGCAAGACAAUGGACCUCAGGAUCACGUGACGGUAUCUCUGUGUAUUCAAAUUGCCAUCAAUAAAAUGCAAUUUUUGCAAGCUUAUUCUUGCCCAUACCAUAACCCUGGGGCGGCAGGUAGCCUAGUGGUUAGAGCUUUGGGCCAGUAACUGAAAGGGUGUUGGAUUGAAUCACUGAGCUGACAAGGUAAAAAUCUGUCGUUCUGCCCCUGAUCAAGGCAGUUAACCAACUGUUCCCCGGUAGGCCGUCAUUGUAAAUAAGAAUUUGUUAUUUUAACUGACUUGCCUGGUUAAAUAAAGGUUACAUAAAUAAUAGCCCCACCAUGGGGCACUCUAUUCACAAUGUUGACAUAAGCAAACCAUGUUGUUGUGUGACACAUUUUAGAGUGGACUUUUACCUUCCCCAGCACAAGGUUCACCUGUGUAAUGAUCAUGAUGUUUAAUCAUCUUCUUGAUAUGCCACAUCUGUCAAGGGGAUGGAUUAUCUUGGCAAAGGAGAAAUGCUCACUAACAGAGAUGUAAACAAAUUUGUGUACAAAAUUUAAGAUAAAUAAGCUUUUUGUGUGUAUGGAACAUUUCUCGGAUUUCAGCUCAUGAAACAUGGGACCAACACUUUACAUGUUGUAUUUACAUUUUUGUUCAGUGUAUAUAAAACCCAUGAAAAUCAUGUUUUUGACUUCACUGGGCCUUAAAAUGUUUGAGGCUCUGUUGCUAUGCUCUGUGUGUGUGUUUACCAGGUGUAGUGAUGUGCUGUUGUGCUGUCUGUGAGACAUGUGUAACAGUUUAUCGGUGUUGCUAUGCGCUGUGUGUGUAAUUCUGUGUUGCUAGGCGGUAGAGAGCUGGACAGCUGGACAGCUAGACUCAGGACCUGGCUCUGCUCAGUGUGGUCUGGCCGUCCUCACAGCGGUAAUGCAGUCUCUGGCUCGAAAGAACGUGCGAGCCGUUGGAUAAGAUGAACUUGACUGUGAACGUGACUAAGAAGUUUAAGGAGUUCAACCAGCCUGCCAGAGAGGGAGCAUAAAUACAGACCAUACAUGGAAGGUGAGAGAUUGCACACUCAGAGUGGGGUGAUCACUGAGGCCCGUCUGAAGGAGUUAACCCCCUCUAUGCCAGUAAUCUCAGUACAAGCUGUACCAAACAAAAGACAAUGCAUAAUAUCUAUGAGCUUCCUCUGUACAAGACCAAGCUGAGAGGAACCACUUAUGGCUGGACCUUCAGCCUCGAGACCAGAGAGAGACCAGCUAAAUUGGUACUGGCCGGGGUGGCACUGCUGGUCAGUGUGUAGAGGUAAGGGAUAGGUGUUAGGGGGUGAGGAGGGAGGGCAGCAGAGAGACCAGCCAAGUUGGUACUAGCUGGGGUACCCGGGGUGGCACUGCUGGUCAGUGUGUGAGUGAGCUGUCAGGGUAGGCAGGAGAAAUUAGGUGAAGAAGGAUGAGGGGCCUGCUCCUUUGUUGGUUUAAGGGAUUUUGGAGACGUUGGAACAGAGUGAGGUAGUUAUUUCAUUAGUUGUUCGUGGGCUGUGUCUUUUCCUCAUUAUGUUGCUCAGUGUGAGAGAAGUUACUUUAGGUAAAAAGUGUUACUACAUAAUCUCUCAAACCAGGUUUGAUGCUGAAAUACAGUAUAAAGACAUUUGUAUGGUAUUGUUUUAGCACCUGAAAGCUAUAUGAAAAUAAAAAAUGUUUGUCAUAUUACUUAAAUGAAAAUAUCAGUAUUUAUCUGAAUUUAUUGAAAAACAAUACAAUAUAUAAAGAGAAGGGAGCUGCAAAAUAAUUUUACACAUUUGAUCACAGUAAGAAUCCAUUUGAUCACAGUAAGGAUCCAUUUGAUCACAGUAAGAAUCCAUUUGAUCACAGUAAGAAUCCAUGUGAUCACAGUAAGAAUCCAUUUGAUCACAGUAAGAAUCCAUUUGAUCACAGUAAGAAUCCAUUUGAUCACAGUAAGAAUCCAUUUGAUCACAGUAAGAAUCCAUAAAUUGAAUUCAAAGUUUAGUUUUUGAACGAAUGAACUGUAUCAAUGGUCUAAAAGCAUAGAACAUUGGAUGGUACCCUGACUUGUCCUAGCCUCCACAAACUGCUCUCUGGUCUAUGUAACACUUGUUAAUAUGGCACAUCAGUUGCAUACCACUUUAAAGGCUUCAAUACACCAGAACAACAUGACAGUUAGCAGGAGGAAAUCCACACUGCUGACAAUUCUUCACUAUUAUCCCCUAAAGUCCUCACAACUGGGGGUGGAUAAAUUUGGCUUAAAUUAAAAAAUAAAAUAAUUAUGUAACAAAAACAAAAUUGUGUGUGUGUGUACCUUCCAAGUACCGCUGUGUGUUUGUGUGUUCUCCUAGUCACUGUCGUGGUCAGACCAGCUCAGCUCC